rnacentral:ncRNA from 1 species
CCUACGCAUCUUGUUACGGGUGCCCUUCACAGGGUGAAACGGGAAACCGGUGAAUCAUGUGCUUUACUCAAAGCCAUGUCAGUCCGGUGCUGCCCCCGCAACGGUAAGCGAGCGAAGCAUCAAAUCCACUGUGCCAGCAGUUCGGCAUGGGAAGGUGAUGCUUGCAGGUCAAGGCGAAAGCCUGCGCCCCUCGUGAGCCCGGAGACCGGCCCGCAACACCCAGUGACCG